rnacentral:lncRNA from 1 species
UUUAUUUUUGUUUGUUUUAGAGGUUGUGAGAUUUGAUGGCUACAACAUUUAUUUCAUUAUUUGAGAGGAUCUCCUUGAGUGAUUAUUUAUAUUCGAAGAGAGGGCAUUUUCUUAAAGACUAGAAGCACUCUAGUGUUGUAAAUAUUUUUCAAACACCCGUAAACUUAGUGGAUACCCAAAGAGAACUUAGAGAGUGGACGUAAGCAAUGAUUCGCCAAACCACUAUAAAUUGUUUGCACUCUCUUCUCUCUUCUUAUUGCUUAUUUAUUUGAUUAGAGUGCAUAGUAAAUUUAUUGUUAAGUAAACUUUUAAUUGGUUAUUAAGAGUAGCAAACCUAUUCACUCCUCAUAGUUUGAUUUUUAGCUAAGAGAAAUAAAAAUGAAAAAGGUAUGUGAUCCAAUAGUUUUGAACAAUUGGAUCGUCAGCUUUUUUUAUUUUUAUUUUAUUUUUUCUCACUAAAUUUAGAAUCCAAACACAAUCUUAGGGUGUGAAUUUCGAAAUCUACAAAUAUAAUAUAGGCUACGUUCAUUUGGUGUGAAUUCAGUUAGUGGUUGCAAUUAAGGUCUCUUGUAAGUACGAUAUGAAUAAUGUUUGAUUCUUUUAUGUUGUCUUUUUUUAGUUCUCUUUUUUGUGUGCUUGAUUAGAUUAGUUAUGUAAUUAAUUAUAACUCUAGUUGGACUGGGGCAAAUUAAAUUAAUUGAUUGUUAGAUUAUUAAUUAAUUAAUAUCAUGGUUAUAUCAUUGUGUGACAAGGGUUUGAUAAAUUACCGAAGCAUUUUUAUCCUAGUGACUAUAAUAUCCGAAAGCUUAGGUUGCGUUUCGAAAGGAAAGAAAUGGAAAAGAAUGGACACUAAUAAUUUUCCCUUUUCCAGGUUUCGUAUCUAGUUUUAAGAAGGAAAGUCAGUCAAAACUUAUUUUCUUUCUUGUUUUGAAAUUUUCUUUUCACAUUUUCACCUCUUAAUUUUAUCUAAAAUUAAAUAAAAAUAAUUUUUUUUUUUUUUACAAAAAACAAACAAAGAGAAAUAUAUAGUUUUCUCUAGAUUCUUCCUUUUAAUUCCUUUAUCUAGUUUCUCUUUCUUUUUCUUUACACAAUUUCCAAACACAGGCUUAAUCAUGGGAGAGAGAGGUUGCUAGGUUGUGUAAUUAGCAAAAUUUCAUGACACGUCUUAUUUGAUGUAAUUUGGAGAUUUAGUUUAUCAAUUACAAGCAUUCGGAAAGAUUUCAAGCAUUCAAAAAGGUUUUUAAGUAUAUUCAUACAAGAUCAUGCUAACAGAGACUUGUAAGAUACAUCGUGGAUGAUAAACGGGACUUCAAGGGAUUUCGAGAGAUGACAAUCAUUAGAUCAUAGAGUUGAUAGAUUUUAAUUGUAAGAGUCUUGUAAUCAUCUGAACAUCGAGUUAUAGUGCAUGAUCUUUGUCCAGAGAAGGGAACACGUGAUUUUUCUUUCAUUCAAGGGUUUCCACGGUAAAAAUCUUGUGUAUUUCUUGGUUAAUGGGUUUGUUUCUUUUUAUAUCUUGAAUCUUACAAUAUUGCACAAAGUCGUGAUAUUCAUUUAAUAUUGUAGUUUUUAGAUCAUUGGGUAAAACAUAGACAAAUGUUAGGUUUUCUAAAUGUCAAUUACACAAAUAGAUACACAGUAUUAUUAUACAUAGAGGGAGCAAUAGCCCACAAGUAGAAGUUUCAGUUUCACCACACCCAUAUUAUUAACAGAUGGAAAUAUAUAUUUAUUCUUGAGAGGUACACACUGAUCACACAUCUACUGCUCCAUACCAAGUAAGCCAGAUAAUGGCAUUUAUAUCUCCAUUAUAUCACUUGAGAUGGUGGGUCUCAAUGUCUUUUGUGAUCUCAAUACAGAGGUCCAUCAAUUUGUUUGGCUCUUCAACAUCUUCUUUCGGCUUUUCAUAGUGAAAGUUCCAUGUCACCGAGGUGUUUUCCCCUUUUGUGUCCACAUGAACAACAAUCAUAAAGGUCUUGUACAGAUCCAUAAGAUCUCCUUCAACAACCUUGAAUGUCACGGACUUGGUUUCUUCUUCAGUUCUUCUAUUGCUUCAACAAUUUCCUUAGCAGCCUUCUCCUUUCUAUCUGUGGUUUUCAUCACAUUAAAUGCAACUUCUUAAGUCAAGCUAGUCAAGGCGUAUCCACAAUUUUAAUUUUGGGGAGCUGAAUAUAUAUAUAAAACACAUAAUUUGUAAAUUACACAUGUAAUAUAUUGGACCUAGAAUUUCUCUCCUAGGUGCUUUCAAUUGCUUGUAAUAAAACAUAAUAUUUUUAUGUAAUUUUUAUAUAUUUUAUAUUUUGAGUAUUUGUCUGUGAAUCCAACCCUAUAGUUGUAAUUUAAAGAAAUUCUGAAACUACGAGGACAAAAGUGCAAUUUUGUACUAGAGGAGGUUAAGAAGACUAUAAAUACAUGAGGGAGGCAACCCUAAUUGGGAGUAAGAGCCAACAAUAUUGUUUAUCCAUGCUCUUUGUGUACUUGAGAGAUUUUUAGAGAAAUCAUUGAGCUUCAUCUUUUCUCUUAAGGUGUGUUUAUCAUAAACUCAUCAAAUCAAGAUUUAAAUCCUUUGGACAUACUCAAAGGCGGAUAGAUUUAAGUUCAAUUCAUAGAUGAUUGUUGAUGAUUCAAUACUCAACCAUUAACUGAAGCGUAGAUCGUGGACUCAGUCAGUACUAGGAUCACAUUCACAUGUUCGAGGAUUUGACACCUAAGGCGCGUGAAUUUAGUUAGAUUGAGUUUGUAAGUUAUAACUUAUAUUUUGCAUAGUGGAUUAGUUGAUCGUACUUAGUUCCAGAUUUUUUUUUCUACUUUGAGAUUUUGCACGUAAAAAAUUGCUUGUUUUUGUGUGUGCUUGAUUUUAUAUUUAUUUGAGGUUUUUAUUUGUUUGGUUAAAUAGCUUCGCAAAUUCAUAAAACGAAUAAAACUAUAUUUUUAAUUUUACAAUUGGUAUCAGAGCGGGUCACUCAAAAUAAAAUAUUUUUUUAUUUUUUUUCAGAGUAUGGUCUGAUUGAUUUGUUUCUAUGUAUAAAUUUGAUCGUAAGAAGCUUGACAAUAUUCAACAAGCCUAUGAUAACUUUGUAAGGAGUCUUAUGAGAAGAACAAAAUUUAUGAAAAAUGUAAUGCAAAAGUGGAAUCACUUAAGAAGUCUUAAGAGAUGAAUAUAAAUAAGAGCUAAUUGAAGCUCAAGCUACCGUGGGUGAAUUGAAUCGUAUAAUGCUACUUUGUCUAAAAAAAAAAUUAUUAUUGAAAAAGAGAAAAAAUAAAUAUUUGAUAAGUUGAAUUUACUUUUUGAAAAACAUUUAAAACCUGACAAAGAUAUGCAUUUGUGUCUUGAGUCAAAAGAUAAUCUUGAGGAAAAAGUGGGUAAAUUAGAAUUUGAUCUUAGUGCUUCUAAUGCUACUCUCGAGAAGUUUAAUGCAGAUUCAAAGGUUUUGGAUGAAAUUAUUUGCGUGCAAAAAUUUUCUUCUGACAAGAGAGGACUUGGAUAUGUUGAUAAGCCUUCAUCUUCUUCCAAAUCGGGGAACAUGGAUAUUUUUGUGAACCCUAAAAAAUGUGGUUCCAAUCUUUCCAAGGCCAACCAAACAAAGGGAUCUCCUAAGAAAACCGUCACAAAUGUAUAGGUAAAAUCAUCUAAUUUUAAUCUUGUUUGCCAUCAGUGUAGUGUCCAUGGUCAUAUUAGGCAUUUAUUGAUUUAAUGAUUGUUUUGAUGAUAUUUGAUGAUGUCAAGGUUUCAUCAUGUAUGGUCUUAAUAUUGAUAUAUGCACAAAAUGUAUAUAUAUAUAUAUAUAUAUAUAUAUAUUAUUUAUCAUAUUAAUACAUAUAUAUUAGAUUCAUGGUAUGAUUAUGCGUAUUCUACAUUAGUAUUUUUCAUUCUAUUAGUAUUAUACACCUUCAAAGUUCAGUCGAUCAAAAUUGCAACUGAAACAAAGUUUGAUUGACUGAAGUUGACUUUUGGUCGGCCGAACUUUCGACCAAAAUUUAAAAUUUUCAAUCCUAACAGUCCAAAUCAAGUUCCAACGGCCCAAAUUAAAUUCUAAUUACUCUAUUACUAUUUCAACAAGUAGAUUUGCUAAGAUGGCUAUAAAUACAACCCUUAACUAGAUGCAAAUUAUGAUGGGAUGAAAUAGGUUUGAUAGGAUUAAUGACCAAUUAAAAUUCUUGUUAAAACUUAUACUAGCAAUGCACUCUCAAUUUAAGCAAAUAUAUAUAAACAACUUAAAAGAGGGGAGAGAAAAUAGUGCAAACGAUUUAUAAUGGUUCAACAAAUCUCAGCCUACGUCCACUCUCCAAACUUCUCAUUGGAAAUUCAUUAUCUUCAAAUUUGUGAGUGCUUGAAAAUCUUUAUAAAUACUAGAACCUUUUAGUCGUCAAGAGAGUCCCUCUCUUAGGAAUUUUACAAUUACUUAUAGUGAUCCUUUCAACAAGAUACAAUAGUUGAAGUGAUUCUUACUUACCAACUCUAGAUCAAGGAUAAAUACAAUCAUAUCUAGAAUGAUCUUGCUCACUUUGAUUUUUGGCAAAUCAAACUCACAAUAAAUGAACAAAUGAUUGAAGUAUUGAAUACAAAUGUUAUUAGGAUUUUAUGGCACUUCAAUACCCUUCCAACAAACCCAAGGAUUGAAUUAUAAGCCAAAAGUUAAAUAGAGUCAUUGCAGCAUGUAAUGCAUCUGAUUAAGCCAUUCUGAUUGAAUCUCAGCCGUUGGAUCUUGAUUUGGACUGCAGGAUUAAAAUGUUCAAACUUCGGUUGACCAAACUUUAAUUAUGGUCGAAAUUGCACUGAGAUUUCAGAGAUUAACUUUUCUUGUUUACUGAAGGGUUGGGGAACUUCGGUCGAGGUUUUGUAACUUUCGAUCGAACGAAUGUCAACUUCGGUUGACAUUGCUCUACAAUUUCAGUAAGCUCUUUAAUCUCUAAUUUGGCUCUUAACUGAUUUCGAUUGAUCGAAUCUUAACUUUGAUCGACUGAACCUUACCUUUAGUUAAGGUUGUACUAAAUUUUCAAUGAGC